AUAAAGUGAGAAUUAGAAUAGCUAAGAAAAUUGUAGGAAAUUAUUAACGUAAUUGAAAUAAUGGUUCAAUUUGUUUCCCAAUAACCUAUGGUAAUUAAAAAGUCAUCUUAUUAAUUGAAAAAAAAACUGAUCCUAUUAGCCCUGUAGUAAGAUAUUUAUAUUAAAACUCUAGUAGUCCUAUUAACCUUCUAGUAGACUACUUAAACUAGA
rnacentral:lncRNA from 1 species